rnacentral:lncRNA from 1 species
AUGAUGUUUGUUGGGUCAGCUAAAGAGCCAUUGAAAGAUCUACAUUCAUACAACAACAUAAUCAAAAUGAAGUAUGUAGCAGAAUGGUUAGGGUGCCUGACAAGUCAAUCAAAAAGUGUAAAAAAAAAGACAGCAGUUAUUGCUAAUUUUGGUUAGCCUGCAAAAGUCCAAGGAAAGAAGCUGUAUAGGCAAUACCUUCCUAGACAAUUGCUCAAGGGAAACUCCCUAACAAUCAUCUACUUUUCCCAAUCGUCCUCAACGGAUAGAUUGAGAAAGAGUAUAAAAAAGAAGACCAUGAAGAUCCAAAGGAGUGUGCAACACAUAAAAAGAUCAAGUAACUUACAUACUAUUUUUCUUAGCCGAAAGCUCUCUAUCUUACUAUUUUGAUUGUCAUGCUGUUUAGCAAUUGUGUUAGGAUUAAGUGUACAAGUGUAAGAACAACAACUGAGUCCAGGUAAUGUGAUAUAUUGUGUAAAGGAUCAAUGUUAGUCGUUUGUAACUUUCCGAGUAGAUUGCUAGUGGAAUCCAACCUGUCUUGAGACUAUUAGUUUAAAGAGUUGAUGUAGGCUUUAGAAUGCCGAACCACUAUAACUCUUUGUCCCUUACUAUUUUUCAUCUGCUUAAAUACAUUGGCAUACAAUUAGUGAGUAUUUACAUAAACAUCAGGUUAAGGUGAUAUUUACUUAGCAAUCAGCUAAUUUUCGCAAAAGAUCAUCAAAGUUUGAAAAUAACAUACUCACCCUUCCUCUAAGCUGUAUUGUUAGUCUCAACAUGUUCAAGCACUUUCAUAUUCAACUUCCUUCCAGCCUCUGCUCUAGGACUCUUCCAUUAAUGCAGAUCGGAUUCAAGAGAAUCUCCAAAAUGAGGUUAAAGGACAUCUCAGACGUUUGGAAAAACAUAAAGAAAAGAUCAACCGGUUCUGUCAAAAAUAGUACAGUUGCGUAGAAAAAGAGAAAAUGAAAGAGUAUUGUUUCUUGGACUCCAAAAAGAAAGAAACCUACCGUCCUAUUGAGAGAUGAAGAUGAAGAUGAGGAAGACACUCGUUCUGACAUAAUUGCAAAUAUAGGAAUGACAGACCCUGUUAUAGAGUUACUGAAUUUGAUGACGAAGAAGAAAGCGAGAAAGAUGAAGUAAGUAAAAGAGAAGAAGAUGGAGAAGACAAAGAAUGAGAUGAUAGAAAAGAAGAUAACAAAGAAGAGAGUGACAAAGAAAAGGAUGAAAAUGAAGGGAAUGACAAAGAAGUAGAAGAUGAUGAAGAAGGUGAUGAAGCAAAAGGUUACAAAGGAGAAAAAACUGAAAGAAUGACCAAGAAAAAGGCGUUGGGAAUACAGAGAAGGUGAUCAACUUGUUAAUCUAGAAGGUGGAGACCUUAACACACAGGAUGCAAGUGUAAAUGUAGGGGAGUCUCUGAGAAACUCCAUCAUAAACAUAGGCUCCAAUAUAGACCUACAGUGACACUCAAGCCAGUUAAUCUCCACCUGAUGGUCAGUAAUUGGAAGCAACAAUAGGUAGUUGUGAAAAAUUAAGCUUCACCAACAACAAACAGCCUCAAAUU